UCCCAGGUUUCUUUUGAAACCAUCGCCUUCAUCAUUUUAAUUGCUU
rfam:Monodelphis domestica chromosome 6, whole genome shotgun sequence.